rnacentral:rRNA from 1 species
CGUGUAGGCGGCCAGACAGGUCUGUUGUGAAAACUGGAGGCUUAACCUCCAGACGUCGACAGAAACCGUCUGGCUAGAGUCCGGAAGGGGAGAGUGGAAUUCCUGGUGUAGCGGUGAAAUGCGCAGAUAUCAGGAAGAACACCAAUGGCGAAGGCAGCUCUCUGGGACGGUACUGACGCUGAGACGCGAAAGCGUGGGGAGCGAACA